rnacentral:rRNA from 1 species
CCCUUAGAUGUUCUGGGCCGCACGCGCGCUACACUGAUGCAUUCAACGAGUCUAAAACCUGCUCUGAUAGGGGUGGGUAAUCUUUUGAAUGUGCAUCGUGAUUGGGAUAGAUGAUUGCAAUUUUUCAUCUUCAACGAGGAAUGCCUAGUAAACGCAAGUCAUCAGCUUGCAUUGAUUACGUCCCUGCCCUUUGUACACACCGCCCGUCGCUCCUACCGAUUGAAUGAUCCGAUGAAUAUCAUGGAUUGAGGAUUAUAGCAGGUUCGCCUGUCUUGAUCUUCGAGAAGUGAAGUAAAUCUUAUCAUUUAGGGGAAGGAGAAGUCGUAACA